rnacentral:lncRNA from 1 species
CAGAUGUGUUGAGGUAGUUUCUCUCUCUUGGCUGAUAUGGGAAUGUGGCCAAGAGUCCAGGCUCUGGGACAGACAAAAUGGGUUCCACUCUGCCACUUUAGAAUUGCUGGACUUUCAGCAAGUCAUCCCUAUAUCUGUACUGCAGCUUCUUUCUUGGAAGCUCACGUUCCAGUCAAUGGCAGCCUCUGGACAACUGCAUUGCCCAUCUUCCUGCCAGGACGUUCCAGAACUGAGGUGCCAAGCCUGGGUGCAGCCCAGGGAAGGACCCUGGAUGCUGCUGGAGGAGGGUCCCGAAAUCAAGGGAAUGGAUGUAUUGCAGAUAAGAGCUUCGCUCCAUUCCCUCUCCCCAGGAGGGCCACCAACCAUGUGUUUGUGCUUGCACUGUGAGCUCACUGCAUAGGUAAUUGGACCAGGCCUGAGCCAAUCAGGUUUGUCAUCCACUAGGAAUUUGGAAUGGAGAUGGACUAGUAGCCAAUGGACUGAGAAGAAAAUGAGGGAACUCAGGAUGCUGGCAGGAAGGGG